rnacentral:rRNA from 1 species
GAUGAACGCUGGCGGCGUGCCUAACACAUGCAAGUCGAACGAUGAAACCGCCCUCGGGCGGACAUGAAGUGGCGAACGGGUGAGUAACACGUGACCAACCUGCCCCUUGCUCCGGGACAACCUUGGGAAACCGAGGCUAAUACCGGAUACUCCUCGCCCCCCUCCUGGGGGGCCCGGGAAAGCCCAGACGGCAAGGGAUGGGGUCGCGGCCCAUUAGGUAGUAGGCGGGGUAACGGCCCACCUAGCCCGCGAUGGGUAGCCGGGUUGAGAGACCGACCGGCCACAUUGGGACUGAGAUACGGCCCAGACUCCUACGGGAGGCAGCAGUGGGGAAUUUUGCGCAAUGGGGGAAACCCUGACGCAGCAACGCCGCGUGCGGGACGACGGCCUUCGGGUUGUAAACCGCUUUCAGCAGGGAAGAAAU